rnacentral:tRNA from 1 species
GGGAAGGUGGCUCAGUGGUAGAGCACUUGCCUUGCAUGCCUGAGGAAAAACAAUGGAGUGAGGGUCGAGGCCAUAAUGCCUUUGGGCUUGGGUCCUUCCCU